UAGCGUCUUCAGGGCGGGGCGAAAUUCCCCACCGGCGGUAUGUUUAUUUUAUAAACGAGCCCGCGAGCGCCUUUUUAAAGAGAAGGGUCAGCAGAUUUGGUGAGAAACCAAGGCCGACGGUUACAGUCCGGAUAAAAGAAGUCACAG
rnacentral:ncRNA from 2 species